ACGGGAGGCAGCAGUGGGGGAUAUUGCGCAAUGGGGGAAACCCUGACGCAGCAACGCCGCGUGAAGGAUGAAGGUCUUCGGAUCGUAAACUUUUGUCUUUGGGGACGAAGAAAGUGACGGUACCCAAGGAGGAAGCCACGGCUAACUACGUGCCAGCAGCCGCGGUAAUACGUAGGUGGCGAGCGUUGUCCGGAAUUACUGGGUGUAAAGGGCGUGUAGGCGGGACUGUAAGUCAGAUGUGAAAUACCGGGGCUUAACUCCGGGGCUGCAUUUGAAACUAUAGUUCUUGAGUGAUGGAGAGGGAAGCGGAAUUCCUAGUGUAGCGGUGAAAUGCGUAGAUAUUAGGAGGAACACCAGUGGCGAAGGCGGCUUUCUGGACAUUAACUGACGCUGAGGCGCGAAAGCGUGGGGAGCAAACAGGAUUAGAUACCCUGGUA
rnacentral:rRNA from 2 species